GACAGCUUCAGCAAUUGAGUCCAUCAUUACGGAGUUCAAUGGACCUGCAGGCCUUGACAUUGAUGGAAUCCACCUGUUCAAAUCAGCACAGGCAGUGGAUUCUCACUGGGCAACUGCAAGCAAGCAUCUUAGUUGUAUGCAGGUGGGUUUUUGAACUAAUCAUUGUAAUAUCAUACAAACUCAAACUCACAGACACCAUAAUAAAUAAGCAAUGUAUGUUUUAUAGGACCCCCCGGCAUACAGCUGUAUGUGUCAGUGAAGGUGGUGGUGCUGAAUGGUGUCUGCCUGAACAAGUACAGGUGUCAGCGAGGCAGUAACUCCUUGGAGGGCUUGCACUCACACCUGUACAAUGCCAUUCCCUCACAGAGAUGUGGAGUUAUGCCAUUCCAAGUGUAUCUGAUUGCAUUUGCUGUGCAGUGGAACAGCCGCCAGGAAUCACUCCGGGUUGCUGGUGGUCAUGGCAGGCAGACGUGGUGUAUGAACCCACGGCAGAUUCAGCGCCUGAAUCAGCAGGCUGAGGUGCUCUUCAGUAAAGAGCAUGUCCUCGAGCCCAACUUUGCCGAUCCAAUGCCCUACCCUGCUGUAUACAAGGACCCAGACGAGGAGGAGCUCCUUGGAGUAGAAUAUGCCAUGUGCCAGUCAACCAGCUUCACUGCAAAGGAUUACUAUACCCAGCAAGGUACACAAUCUUGCAUUAUAAUAGUAUACAUACAUACUAAGCAGUCAAAUACCUAUAAAUAUCAUGCAUAUUCUAUCCAUGACAAGUAUGUAUGAUAUAGUUCAUUUUUAUUUUACAUAAUAUGAAACAAAUGAACUGCAGCAUUGCCAUGUUGUAUUAAUUAGUCUACUAUUAGUUGUUGUAACUGCCUAGACACACUGGUGAUUAGUACACUACAUAUUUGCAGUUGAGGAAGAGCAGUCCCGUGAAGAAGAGGAGACGGCUGAACAAAGUGAGGACAAGCUGGCUGAUGAAGGUGUGGACAUGGGUGCAGAGUCAGAGUAGGAUCCUACACUCAAAAAAAUGAUUUUUCAGUUUUGUUCACUUUACCUGAACAAUUCAUGUUGAAUUAAUGCCAUUUUGGCUAUUUUUCAUUUCAACAUGAUUGUGUCAUGUUAAACUGACUUAAAACUGUCACUCGUUGGUUUAACAUAAAGUUUUCAUUUUGAAAGAACAUGUUUCAAUCAAGUACCUCAAAAUAAGUUUUACAUUUGCCAUCAUGCUUUGCACAGGACUGGAUAUGGGGAGAGAAAAUGUUGAAAUAAAGUAUUAUUUUAUGCAGUUUUUAGUAAAAUGUGAUAAUAAGGAGACUUUUUCAUGUCUAAUGCUCUAUUAUGUGGGCAUUUUAAAAGACUUUAUAUUGGUGUAUUUUGUGCGAGUUACCAUUGUGGUGAAGUGUGGAGCUUGUGGUUGGGUUGAGGACCUGGUUAAAAGAAAGUCUAAAAUACUUAAUUUAAAAAAAAGACAACUUUAAUGAGAGUGCUAGUGCAUGAUGUACACAUAGUAACAUCCUUAAACUGCAAACAACUAACAUCAUGUGUAAAGAAAAGUUAUAUCUUACUUGCUAAUGUUUUUAUAACACUUUGGCUAAACUUGCAUGGACAGUGGUUCUACAUGAUGUAAAAUAUUAUCUCUACUCAGAUAUUUCAUGUAGGAUGAACUAAAGCAAACUGAGUAAACUCAACUAAAAGUAGACAUGUCCUUAUAACUUGAUUUAUUCAUGUCCAAAUAACAUGGUACAAACAUGUGGAACCACUGUCCAUGAAAGAAUCAUGUUCAGCCAAAGAGUCAUCUAGAGUAAACUACAACUAAAAGUAAGACAUAGUACCUUAUAACUUGUAUUAUUCAUGUCCAAUAACAUGGUACA
rnacentral:lncRNA from 1 species